rnacentral:rRNA from 1 species
GAUGAACGCUGGCGGCGUGCCUAAUACAUGCAAGUCGAGCGAACAGAUAAGGAGCUUGCUCCUUUGACGUUAGCGGCGGACGGGUGAGUAACACGUGGGUAACCUACCUAUAAGACUGGAAUAACUCCGGGAAACCGGGGCUAAUGCCGGAUAACAUUUAGAACCGCAUGGUUCUAAAGUGAAAGAUGGUUUUGCUAUCACUUAUAGAUGGACCCGCGCCGUAUUAGCUAGUUGGUAAGGUAACGGCUUACCAAGGCAACGAUACGUAGCCGACCUGAGAGGGUGAUCGGCCACACUGGAACUGAGACACGGUCCAGACUCCUACGGGAGACAGCAGUAGGGAAUCUUCCGCAAUGGGCGAAAGCCUGACGGAGCAACGCCGCGUGAGUGAUGAAGGUCUUCGGAUCGUAAAACCCUGUUAUUAGGGAAGAACAAAUGUGUAAGUAACUGUGCACGUCUUGACGGUACCUAAUCAGAAAGCCACGGCUAACUACGUG